AACGAACGCUGGCGGCAGGCCUAACACAUGCAAGUCGAACGCUCCGCAAGGGGAGUGGCGCACGGGUGAGUAACACGUGGGAACCUACCUUCUGGUACGGAACAACCAAGGGAAACUCUGGCUGAUACCGUAUACGACCUCCGGGUGAAAGAUUGAUCGCCGGAAGAGGGGCCCGCGUCCGAUUAGGUAGUUGGUGAGGUAACGGCUCACCAAGCCUGCGAUCGGUAGCUGGUCUGAGAGGANGACCAGCCACACUGGGACUGAGACACGGCCCAGACUCCUACGGGAGGCAGCAGUGGGGAAUAUUGGACAAUGGGCGCAAGCCUGAUCCAGCCAUGCCGCGUGAGUGAUGAAGGCCUCGGUUG
rnacentral:rRNA from 1 species